UUUCAGUCACCUGGCCUCAAAACAUCUCUCACGCCUCCCACAGGAAGCUGGUACCUGGGGCAGCCUGGCUGACUUUUGUCAAAAUUUCACUGAGCACAGGCCACACACAGAGAAUCGCCCGAGGAGAGCAAAGCGACCCCACAAAACGCGAGGCUGUGGUCAGAGCGCUAUCUCGCACCAUCCCAGGGGGAGUCACGUGACAGACCCGGAAGCGGGAGGAGCCGGGCGCCGUACCGAGGCCUGCUGGGAAAUGCAGUUUUAGCCGCAUCUGCGCCGGCAGCCUCACCUGACUUGGAGAAGGGUCUGAGAUGAGCAAUCAGCCAGAAUCAUGGCAAGGAGCCAUUUCAACAGGCAGUUUCAAGUUCAGGAAAAACUAUAAUACAAAGAUAUGGGAUCAAUUAUCUGGCUGAGGAACCAGGCUAUUGUUUGAUGAUGAAAAUAACAAUAUUUUACUACAUAUUUUCCAUUGGUUGCUUGAAAAUGUGGAGGAAAGUCCAGAAUUUACAAUGCAUUUCUUUGACUUGGACUUGAACAGAAGAAAAGCACAACCUAAAAACUUAAGUGUGGCCUCAAAUACAGCAAAUAUAGAUUAUUUUUUCUUCCCACUAUUCUCUUCAGAAACUUACUUAUGGAACACUGGAAAGGAAUACAGCUUAGAGCUUAAAAUAAAGAAAGGCAAAGAAAAGAAUUUUUUCCCCUUCCUAGUGAUUGUAACAUCCUUUUAAA